UAUCUUAUUAUAUAAAGUACAGUUUUGAAAGUUACUAACUCACGAGAUCAUGACACGUGUCAGGUCUAUCAUUGAGAUGUUGACAUAUGUCAAAAAAAAUUCUUUAAA
rnacentral:sRNA from 1 species